AGUGAACGCUGGCGGUAGGCCUAACACAUGCAAGUCGAACGGCAGCACAGUAAGAGCUUGCUCUUACGGGUGGCGAGUGGCGGACGGGUGAGGAAUACAUCGGAAUCUACUUUUUCGUGGGGGAUAACGUAGGGAAACUUACGCUAAUACCGCAUACGACCUACGGGUGAAAGCAGGGGAUCUUCGGACCUUUCGCGAUUGAAUGAGCCGAUGUCGGAUUAGCUAGUUGGCGGGGUAAAGGCCCACCAAGGCGACGAUCCGUAGCUGGUCUGAGAGGAUGAUCAGCCACACUGGAACUGAGGCACGGUCCAGACUCCUACGGGAGGCAGCAGUGGGGAAUAUUGGACAAUGGGCGCAAGCCUGAUCCAGCCAUACCGCGUGAGUGAAGAAGGCCUUCGGGUUGUAAAGCCCUUUUGUUGGGAAAGAAAAGCAGCAGGUUAAUACCCCGCUGUUCUGACGGUACCCAAAGAAUAAGCACCGGCUAACUUCGUG
rnacentral:rRNA from 1 species